AGCAGUCCUAGGGAAGUAAUGCCCAAUGCUUCACUAAAUGAGAAGGAUUCUUACACCUGCCUUGCCAAGGUGGUUCAUGAGGAAUUUUGGCCCUCUUCUACUGGGAUUUGAGUAUGCGGGAUAGUAAAAUAUAAUUAUAGGAAAUUAUUACAAUCAUCCAAAACAGCACCCAUUAAAAACAAUAAUACAGAAGUAUGCAACUUACAUUGCUUUCUCUUAUACAAAUAUUAUUGCAUUUCAGCACAAAUGACAAAACAGCAAUCAUAAGAGUCGUAAGAGUUCCGUGAGGGGAUGCACUGUUGCAGCUUGCACUAUCAUCAUGCAAAAACUGCUGCCCAGCCACGCUGGGAGUUACCUCACUCAUUGCCCAGGCCAAAUUCUCCUGAUAUAUAGGCCAGGCUCCCAUCAAGAUUAAUGGGAGCCACCUUCUCAUAUGUAAGGUCACAACUUAAUCCACCAAAAGGCAGAACUAUAGAGCAUGACUUGUGAACUGAGAGGAGACAAUGAAGCUACAACCCACGAAAAAGUAACAGAACUUCUCAUUCUUAAACUAACAACGAUACACUGUUACGGCUCCCCCCAAUAACAACAGUGAAAGAUUCUGGAAAUAGUGGAUGAACUCCAGAUCUCUGAAAGAACAAUAAAAUGGUAUGAACUACAGGAUCUCCCACAAGAAUGGCAGAUACAUCACAUCUCAUGGACCUGGGAAACACCAAACAAAAUUUACACAAGGCCCAAACCCAGAACGGGGUCUGGCAUUUGAAUAAUCCUGGAGUUUUUCCAACCCGUCUUAUUCUAUCUUAAUAGCAGCUCUAUUUUUAAAAACAGGUUAAGCUCAAGAGAUCUUAUUUAGACCCCCUCAGCUGAUUUUCAAACUGUUAGCGUCCAGCAACACUUCUGAAAAUUAGAAUUCUUAUUUUGCAUCAUUAAUUGUGAAAUAAACUUUUGAACAUUCA